AUUGAAUGCUGGCGGCAGGCUUAACACAUGCAAGUCGAGCGGAGAGAGGUAGCUUGCUACUGAUCUUAGCGGCGGACGGGUGAGUAAUGCUUAGGAAUCUGCCUAUUAGUGGGGGACAACAUUUCGAAAGGAAUGCUAAUACCGCAUACGUCCUACGGGAGAAAGCAGGGGAUCUUCGGUCCUUGCGCUAAUAGAUGCGCCUAAGUCGGAAUAGCUAGUUGGUGGGGUAAAGGCCUACCAGGGCGACUAUCUGUAGCGGGUCUGAGAGGAUGAUCCGCCACACUGGGACUGAGACACGGCCCAGACUCCUACGGGAGGCAGCAGUGGGGAAUAUUGGACAAUGGGCGGAAGCCUGAUCCAGCCAUGCCGCGUGUGUGAAGAAGGCCUUAUGGUUGUAAAGCACUUUAAGCGAGGAGGAGGCUACUUUAGUUAAUACCUAGAGAUAGUGGACGUUACUCGCAGAAUAAGCACCGGCUAACUCUGUGCCAGCCGCCGCCGUAAAAC
rnacentral:rRNA from 1 species